rnacentral:lncRNA from 1 species
GGCAAUAGGAUCACUAUGAGGUCUCUAUGGGGUCGGUUUGGGGUUUCUAUAGAGGCAAUAGUGGCUCUAUGGGGUUUCUAUAGAGGCAAUAAGGCCACUAUGAGAUUUUAUGGGGUCUCUAUGGGGCAUAUGGGGUCUCUAUGGGGUCUGUAUGGUGGCAAUAGGGUCUCUAUGGGGUCUGUAUGGGAGCAAUAGGGUCGGCAUGGGGUCUCUAUGGGGUCUGUAUGGGGGCAAUAGGGUCGGCAUGAAAUCUCUAUGGGGUCUGUAUGGGGGCAGUGGGGUCUCUAUGGGGCUAAUAGGGUCUCUGUGGGGUCUCUGUGCGGUCUUUAUGGGGUCUCUAUAGGAGCAAUAAGGCUGAUAUGGGGUUUCUAUGGGGUUAUGGGGUCUUUGUGGGGAUUGUGGGGUUUCUGUGCGUACAGUGGGGCCCCAUGGGGUUUUGGGGUCUCUAUGGGGAUUGUGGGUUUCCUGUGGGUGCAGCAGGGUCCCUGUGGGAUUUUGGGGUCUCUAUGGGGACUAUGGGGUCAUUUGGGUCCACAUGGGGGUUUUGGGGUCUCUGUGGGGACAAUGGGGUCCCCGUGGGAUUUUGGGGUCUGUAUGGGGACAAUGGGGUCCAUAUGGGGAUUUUGGGAUCUCUAUGGGGACAAUGGGGUCCCCGUGGGAUUUUCGGGGUCUCUAUGGGGUCAUUGGUGUCUCUAUGGGUACAUUGGGGUCUCUGUGGGGACAAUGGGGUCCCUGUGGGAUUUUGGGGUCUGUAUGGGGAUGGUGGGUUUCCUGUGGGUACAAUGGGGUCCCCAUGGGAUUUUGGGGGUCUCUAUGGGUACAUUGGGGUCUCUAUGGGGUCAUUGGGGUCCAUAUGGGGACAAUGGGGUCUCUAUGGGUACAAUGGGGUCCCCGUGGGAUUUUGGGGUCUCUAUGGGGACAAUGGGGUCCCCGUGGGAUUUUCGGGGUCUCUAUGGGUACAUUGGGGUCUCUAUGGGGUCAUUGGGGUCCAUAUGGGGAUUUUGGGGUCUCUGUGGGUACAACGGGGUUCCCGUGGGAUUUAGGGGUCUCUAUGGGUACAAUGGGAUCUCUAUGGGAUUUUGUGGUCCAUAUGGGGAUUUUGGGGUCUCUAUGGGAUUUUGUGGUCCAUAUGGGGAUUUUGGGGUCUCUAUGGGUACAAUGGGGUCUCUAUGGGGUCAUUAGGGUCCAUAUGGUGUCAUUGGGGUCUCUGUGGGUACAACGGGGUCCCGGUGUGAUUUUGGGGUCCCGCAUUCGGCGCUGGCCGCGCAGGUGCUGGGCAGCCCCGGGAACAACCUGCACGAGGUGGAGACGGCCGAGGGCUGCCGCUUCCUGGCCAGCAUGCCGCCCCGCUUCCGCCACCACGUCUGGAUCAAGCGAGGUGCGGACGGCGGCCGCCCCAUGGCUGCCCCAUGGCUGCCCCAUAGCUGCCCCAUAGCCGCCCCCAUUGCCACCUCGUGGCCCCCAUGGCCACCCCGUAGCCACACCAUUACCGCCUCAUAGACCCUAUAGCCACCAUCAUGGCUGUCCCCAUAGCCAUCCCCAUGGCCACCCCAUAGCCAUCCCCAUAGUCAUCCCCAUGGCCACCCUAUAGCCGCCCCAUGGCCACCCCAUAGUCAUCCCCAUGGCCGCCCCAUGGCCACCCCAUAGUCAUCCCCAUGGCCACCCCAUGGUUGCCCCCAUAGUCAUCCCCGUGGUUGCCCCCAUGGCCACCCCAUAGUCAUCCCCAUGGCCACCCCAUAGUCAUCCCCAUGGCCAUCCCCAUAGUCAUCCCCAUAGUCAUCCCCA